GAAAAUCUACACCCACAGUUCUGUGUUCUCUCCUUUCCGCCCUGACUUGCUCUGAGUUCCUCUUUCGUUUCUAUAAAUUUGACUACUUUACAUACCUCACGUAAGUGGAAUCUUAGGGUAUUUGAGUUUCUGUGAUGUGCUUAGUUCACUUAGCAGCAAGUCAGAAUCAUCUCCUUGUCUAAACCUGGACAACACCCCACUAUACACAGAUGCCCCAUGUUCUUCAUCCACUCCUCUGUCUGUGGACACGUUGGCUGCUUCUACCUCUUGACUCUUGAGAAUUACACAGCAAUGUACGGGGAUGCUCAUAAACUGCCUCCAAUUCUUAUGGAUAUAAAAUCUGAACUGAGUUUGUGCGAUCACAUGAUGAGACCAGCUGAGCGUCAUCGUCACAAAGAAGGCAGCUGACAGUCCACUUCCAAUGUGACUCUUUUCUCCAGAUGAUACUUCCGUGUGACCCAAGGCAGUGAGGUCCCCAGAAACCCAGACUGAAUUCCAUAUUAUGUGACAGAACGUCUUACACUUGGACUCAGAGACUCAGUAUAUUCAAGCUGCAUGAGGAAUCGAAACAAAAGAUACUCAGGAGA